rnacentral:rRNA from 1 species
UUUAUGGAGAGUUUGAUCCUGGCUCAGAGUGAACGCUGGCGGCGUGCCUAAUACAUGCAAGUCGAACGAUGAAGCUUCUAGCUUGCUAGAAUGCUGAUUAGUGGCGCACGGGUGAGUAAUGCAUAGGUCAUGUGCCUCUUAGUUUGGGAUAGCCAUUGGAAACGAUGAUUAAUACCAGAUACUCCCUACGGGGGAAAGAUUUAUCGCUAAGAGAUCAGCCUAUGUCCUAUCAGCUUGUUGGUAAGGUAAUGGCUUACCAAGGCUAUGACGGGUAUCCGGCCUGAGAGGGUGAACGGACACACUGGAACUGAGACACGGUCCAGACUCCUACGGGAGGCAGCAGUAGGGAAUAUUGCUCAAUGGGGGAAACCCUGAAGCAGCAACGCCGCGUGGAGGAUGAAGGUUUUAGGAUUGUAAACUCCUUUUGUUAGAGAAGAUAAUGACGGUAUCUAACGAAUAAGCACCGGCUAACUCCGUGCCAGCAGCCGCGGUAAUACGGAGGGUGCAAGCGUUACUCGGAAUCACUGGGCGUAAAGAGCGCGUAGGCGGGAUAGUCAGUCAGGUGUGAAAUCCUAUGGCUUAACCAUAGAACUGCAUUUGAAACUACUAUUCUAGAGUGUGGGAGAGGUAGGUGGAAUUCUUGGUGUAGGGGUAAAAUCCGUAGAGAUCAAGAGGAAUACUCAUUGCGAAGGCGACCUGCUGGAACAUUACUGACGCUGAUUGCGCGAAAGCGUGGGGAGCAAACAGGAUUAGAUACCCUGGUAGUCCACGCCCUAAACGAUGGAUGCUAGUUGUUGGAGGGCUUAGUCUCUCCAGUAAUGCAGCUAACGCAUUAAGCAUCCCGCCUGGGGAGUACGGUCGCAAGAUUAAAACUCAAAGGAAUAGACGGGGACCCGCACAAGCGGUGGAGCAUGUGGUUUAAUUCGAGGAUACACGAAGAACCUUACCUAGGCUUGACAUUGAGAGAAUCCGCUAGAAAUAGUGGAGUGUCUGGCUUGCCAGACCUUGAGAACAGGUGCUGCACGGCUGUCGUCAGCUCGUGUCGUGAGAUGUUGGGUUAAGUCCCGCAACGAGCGCAACCCCCUUUCUUAGUUGCUAACAGGUUAUGCUGAGAACUCUAAGGAUACUGCCUCCGUAAGGAGGAGGAAGGUGGGGACGACGUCAAGUCAUCAUGGCCCUUACGCCUAGGGCUACACACGUGCUACAAUGGGGUGCACAAAGAGAAGCAAUACUGCGAAGUGGAGCCAAUCUUCAAAACACCUCUCAGUUCGGAUUGUAGGCUGCAACUCGCCUGCAUGAAGCUGGAAUCGCUAGUAAUCGCAAAUCAGCCAUGUUGCGGUGAAUACGUUCCCGGGUCUUGUACUCACCGCCCGUCACACCAUGGGAGUUGUGUUUGCCUUAAGUCAGGAUGCUAAAUUGGCUACUGCCCACGGCACACACAGCGACUGGGGUGAAGUCGUAACAAGGUAACCGUAGGUGAACCUGCGGUUGGAUCACCUCCUUUCUA